GCGCUGUUGACGAAACCUAAACAGGUCGAAACAGCUGUCUAGUGC
rfam:Echinostoma caproni strain Egypt genome assembly, scaffold: ECPE_scaffold0001242